rnacentral:tRNA from 1 species
GCCUGGCUGGCUCAGUCUGCAGAGCCUGAGACUCUUCAUCUCAGGGUUGUGGGUUCACGUCCCACGUUGGGCA